CCGGAGGAAUGACUUUCCUGACUGCCCUCGUUUACAUAUGUGUGUGUGCGCGCGGGCGUGUAGCUGACUGUAUAAAGGCGGUGGAAUAUGUAAAACCUUCCCUCUUCAAAGCUCUACCGCAGGGGCCUGUGCGCUUCCAGCACUGCCGUCAUCUCCGCUCCACAAAAGAAUAAACAGGACCGACCGCCGUCAGCGGACCUUAUUUGAAUCAUGUGAAACGCGCGGUCUCGAGCAGGCAUUCCCGGGGCGCCACAGCCCCGCGCCGCCGACCCUCAGUUGCGGGGCGCGGGGACCGGGCCGUUGGCGACGCUGUGAGCACGCGGCCCGUGCCCUCCGCGCGUGCCCCGGUCCGUGAGGCUGCCCGCCCGCCACCGCAGCCUCGGCCUGGAGCCCGGGGCCCGCUGGAGUCCGCGGGGCCCCUCGCGCGGCGCCCCCCGCAGCCGGGCGCAGCGGGGCCGCAACCGCAGAGCUGGGCCGGGAGGGGGAUGGGGAACCUGCGCCCCCGGGUACCCGGCUGCGAGGCCCGCGGGCACAGCCUGCAGCGUCGCGCCGCUGUGGGCCUGCGUGUUGAUUUACCAAGCAAUUAUCAAAUUUCAACAAUUUACAAAUACAUUGCUAGAGCCAGACACUGCAGCCUGUGUGAAGCUUCGCGGCACCAAAGACGUGUACAGGCAGAUGCUUAAAAAUAAUUAGAUUUCAUUCAUUCUCUCUAACGCCUAUGUUACGUUUUGGAUAAGAUGCCACCAGAACACCUUGUGUUGAAAAAAGAAACCAGAAUGUUGGGGGCUGUCCAAGUAAUGAUUGGCCUGAUCAACGGUGCUCUGGGACGUAUCUGGCUACGUUUUUAUAUCAGACAAUUUGAAGAACUUUCCGUAGAGUAUAAGCCUAUAGCCUUGCUAUCAGGAUACCCAUUUUGGACAUUCUUGUUUGUAAUUUAUCGUAUCAGGAGUUUUAACAAUACAAACAGAGAAGAAGCGUUCCCCAAAUUUGGUCCUUGAUACAAGAAGUUCCUUUUAUUACAUACUAAAGAACGGAACCAUCAGGGCCUCGGUCCAGAGUGAAAAAGUUUAAUGGCAAAUGAAGAACAUCACCAAAAGUACAAGCGGCUUUCUAAAAACC